CUUCYUGAUUUGUUAGGAAGUCGGSCCYSCCCACUGAGGAAUUGAAGGGCCGCGGUAUUUUGACCGUGCAAAGGUAGCAUAAUCAUUAGUCUUUUAAUUGGGGACUGGAAUGAAUGGUUUGACGAGAUGAUAGCUGUCUCUAAAAUAUAUAUGAACUUUACUUUUGAGUUAAAAGGCUUAAUUAAUAACGGGGGACGAGAAGACCCUAUAGAUCUUUAUUAUUAUUUGAUAUUAUUGAUUUGGUUGGUUGGCUUUGAUUUUAAUUAAAUAAUUGGRUUGGGGUGAUAGAAGAAUAAGAAGAACUUCUUUUUAAGAAGAUUUAGAUUUAAAGAUUUGUGAUCCUUUAUUAUGGAUGUAAGAUUAAGAUACCUUAGGGAUAACAGCGUUAUUUUGUUUGAGAGUUCUUAUUGACAAUGAAGAUUGCGACCUCGAUGUUGGAUUAAGAUUGCAUGCUGGUGUAGAUGUUAGUGGUGUUAGUCUGKUC
rnacentral:rRNA from 1 species